GACGAACGCUGGCGGCGUGCCUAAUACAUGCAAGUCGAGCGGACCGAAGGGAGCUUGCUCCUUUAGGUUAGCGGCGGACGGGUGAGUAACACGUGGGCAACCUGCCCUGCAGACUGGGAUAACUUCGGGAAACCGGAGCUAAUACCGGAUAACACCGAAAACCGCAUGGUUUUCGGUUGAAAGGCGGCUUUUAGCUGUCACUGCAGGAUGGGCCCGCGGCGCAUUAGCUAGUUGGUGAGGUAACGGCUCACCAAGGCGUGGAUGCGUAGCCGACCUGGGAGGGUGACCGGCCACACUGGGACUGAGGCACUGCCCAGACUCCUACGGGAGGCAGCAGUAGGGAAUCUUCCGCAAUGGACGAAAGUCUGACGGAGCAACGCCGCGUGAGCGAAGAAGGUCUUCGGAUCGUAAAGCUCUGUUGUCAGGGAAGAACAAGUACCGUUCGAAUAGGGCGGUACCUUGACGGUACCUGACGAGGAAGCCACGGCUAACUACGUGCCAGCAGCCGCCGCAG
rnacentral:rRNA from 1 species